rnacentral:tRNA from 1 species
ACCUGGGUGGCUCAGUUGGUUAAGUGCCUGACUUCGGCUCAGGUCAUGAUCUCACGAGUCAUGGGUUCGAGCCUCAUGUCAGGUU